rnacentral:rRNA from 1 species
GUAGGGAAUAUUGGACAAUGGGCGAAAGCCUGAUCCAGCCAUGCCGCGUGUGUGAAGAAGGUCUUCGGAUUGUAAAGCACUUUAAGUUGGGAGGAAGGGCAGUAAGUUAAUACCUUGCUGUUUUGACGUUACCGACAGAAUAAGCACCGGCUAACUUCGUGCCAGCAGCCGCGGUAAUACGAAGGGUGCAAGCGUUAAUCGGAAUUACUGGGCGUAAAGCGCGCGUAGGUGGUUUUGUAAGUUGGAGGUGAAAUCCCCGGGCUCAACCUGGGAACUGCCUCCAAAACUGCAUGACUAGAGGACGGUAGAGGGUAGUGGAAUUUCCUGUGUAGCGGUGAAAUGCGUAAAUAUAGGAAGGAACACCAGUGGCGAAGGCGACUACCUGGACUGAUACUGACACUGAGGUGCGAAAGCGUGGGGAGCAAACAGGAUUAGAUACCCCAGUAGUCC